UUUUUUAUUUUUUAUGUUGACAUUCAAAUUUUGACCAAGAUUGGAGAAAGCCGGGAAGGUAACAGGCUAAUACUAGGUUAGGUUAACCGAAGCAAAGCAACCCUGGCCUUCCGGUACAGUACAGAGCCAAGUGAUUGAACAAUCAGAACUGGCAUAUCAAACCUAAUCAAAGCAAAUGGCUUACGAAUGAGGCGCCUUUGGGGUUAUAUCAUUAAUCUGCGUGAAAACUUUGACGAAUGAAGUUCUCCACUCUUCAUGGAUAACCACAGCAUUUACGCAGCGAAGCUGGCAGAACACUCUAACUGUACUAACGGUUUGUUAACUAGGUUCUUGGUGAUCAAUGUUGCAUUUGUUCAAGUCCUUAUGUUAACUUAAUGACUUCCACCAUAUUUGGUUAGCUUUUGGAAAAUCAAAAAUCCCAUUCUUUUAUUUACUGUAUUUGAGAUGCAUGUCACAGAACAUCCAAGAACGUAUCAUUCUAAAGUGUUAUGGAGUGAAUUUUGACGAUUAGUAUUUAGUAAACAGGCCCGUGAUUAAUUAUUAUUUGAAGAAUUUGUUUAA